rnacentral:rRNA from 1 species
UACGUAGGGUGCAAGCGUUGUCCGGAAUUAUUGGGCGUAAAGAGCUCGUAGGCGGUCUGUCGCGUCGGCUGUGAAAACCUGGGGCUCAACUCCGGGCCUGCAGCCGAUACGGGCAGACUAGAAUUCGGUAGGGGAGACUGGAAUUCCUGGUGUAGCGGUGAAGUGCGCAGAUAUCAGGAGGAACACCGGUGGCGAAGGCGGGUCUCUGGGCCGAUAUUGACGCUGAGGAGCGAAAGCGUGGGGGGCAAACAGG